CCAGCAGGGAUCCGUAGCUGGUUUGAGAGGAUGAUCAGCCACAUCGGGACUGAGACACGGCCGAACUCUACGGGAGGCAGCAGUGGGGAAUAUUGGACAAUGGGGGCAACCCUGAUCCAGCCAUGCCGCGUGUGUGAAGAAGGCCCUCGGGUUGUAAAGCACUUUCAGCGAGGAAGAACGCCUAGUGGUUAAUACCCAUUAGGAAAGACAUCACUCGCAGAAGAAGCACCGGCUAACUCCGUGCCAGCAGCCGCGGUAAUACGGAGGGUGCAAGCGUUAAUCGGAAUUACUGGGCGUAAAGCGCGCGUAGGUGGCUUGAUAAGCCGGUUGUGAAAGCCCCGGGCUCAACCUGGGAACGGCAUCCGGAACUGUCAGGCUAGAGUGCAGGAGAGGAAGGUAGAAUUCCCGGUGUAGCGGUGAAAUGCGUAGAGAUCGGGAGGAAUACCAGUGGCGAAGGCGGCCUUCUGGACUGACACUGACACUGAGGUGCGAAAGCGUGGGUAGCAAACAGGAUUAGAUACCCUGGUAGUCCACGCCGUAAACGAUGUCGACCAGCCGUUGGGUGCCUAGCGCACUUUGUGGCGAAGUUAACGCGAUAAGUCGACCGCCUGGGGAGUACGGCCGCAAGGUUAAAACUCAAAUGAAUUGACGGGGGCCCGCACAAGCGGUGGAGCAUGUGGUUUAAUUCGAUGCAACGCGAAGAACCUUACCUACCCUUGACAUCGACAGAAGCCGAGAGAGAUCUUGGUGUGCCUUCGGGAACUGUCAGACAGGUGCUGCAUGGCUGUCGUCAGCUCGUGUUGUGAAAUGUUGGGUUAAGUCCCGUAACGAGCGCAACCCUUGUCCUUAUUUGCCAGCGCGUAAUGGCGGGAACUCUAAGGAGACUGCCGGUGACAAACCGGAGGAAGGUGGGGACGACGUCAAGUCAUCAUGGCCCUUACGGGUAGGGCUACACACGUGCUACAAUGGCCGGUACAAAGGGCAGCGAGCUCGCGAGAGUCAGCGAAUCCCUUAAAGCCGGUCUCAGUCCGGAUCGGAGUCUGCAACUCGACUCCGUGAAGUCGGAAUCGCUAGUAAUCGGAAUCAGAAG
rnacentral:rRNA from 1 species